UAAGGAAUAUUGCUCAAUGGGAGAAAUCCUGAAGCAGCAACGCCGCGUGGAGGAUGAAGGGUCUAUGACUUGUAAACUCCUGUAAAGAAGGAAAAAAUUCCCAUUUGAUGGGAGAUGAUGGUACUUCUGGAGUAAGCCCCGGCUAACUACGUGCCAGCAGCCGCGGUAAUACGUAGGGGGCAAGCGUUGUCCGGAUUUACUGGGUGUAAAGCGCGUGCAGGCGGAUUGGGGAGUUGGAUGUGAAAGCUCCCGGCUUAACUGGGAGAGGUCGUUCAAUACUUCCAGUCUUGAGUGCAGUAGAGGGAAGUGGAAUUCCGGGUGUAGUGGUGAUAUGCGUAGAUAUCCGGAGGAACACCAGUGGCGAAAGCGGCUUCCUGGACUGUAACUGACGCUCAGACGCGAAAGCUAGGGUAGCAAACG
rnacentral:rRNA from 1 species